UGGCCUCUAGUUGCUAAAUUAUUGCUCCUUGAUGUAAUUUGAGUGUACAACAAACAUCACACAAAAAACUCUCAUUACCUUUGACAAAACAAAAUGAUAAAUUAGUGAAGAAAAGCCGUAACAAUGUAGAUAUUAAGUUCAAAUACUAACCUUUUUUUAGUGGAGAAAAUGUAAAGGAGGUGGAUGCGAAGGCAAUUAAGAGGACGGGACCAUGCGACGACGACGACACCAAAUAUACCAUGCGACAACGGCGACAAUACCACAUCAUGACCAUAACAACACCUAGGGCAUAACGAAAAAGGCAAUGCCCAAACACCCUCAUGAACACAAGAUGUUCUUGUAACGAUGAUGAACACGAAUGGAAGAUGAGAAUGAGAAGGAAUGGAGAAAGGGGAGCGAAUGAGAAUGUGAAUAAAUGGAAGAGAGCAAAAUGAGAAAGUGAAUGAAGGUGAUUGUCACUAGAGAAGGGAGAACUUGAAGUCAAUGUAGAAGAAAAUGAGGUGAAGAGCAAAAGUUAGGAAGAAGAAGAUUAAACAUUAUAUACCGAUUAUAGUGACUAACUGGUAUAGAAAAUCUUCUCCAUCACUUUCUAUAUUGGUUUUAGGUCUAAGUGGCAUAAGAAAGCUUUGUAAUUUAUUUCAAUUUUGCCAUCAUACUACUUUUUAUACUAGUUCUGGAUCCAACCUAUAUAGAAAAACUUUG
rnacentral:lncRNA from 1 species